AGGACAAUGAGCUCAGAAAGUCUUUUUCCUUCUAGGGACUGCCUUUUUCACCCAAACUGUUCCCUCUGCCCCCUCCCCCGACAAGGCCUGUCCUGUAAGAGUUAGGCUAGCAGGGUAGGAGCAAUGCUAUGAAACCACUGCUGGGACCCAGGUCUUCCCAGUCCUUCACCCCGCAGGUCACCCUGAGAAACACACUAAGAACUCCAUCCCCCAGACAGGACAGUCCCAUCUACCCGCAGCUUGAGUCUUGGCCCUAGUACCUUGAGGGUGUUGGGGGUGAUGGUGUAACCAUCUUCCUCAGGAAUUUUCAGCCCCGGUGGGCAGGGCAGGGCGAAGUCAUCGUGCAGGUAUUUUCCACUCAUGGCACUCUCUAACAGCCUGUGGAGAAGAAAAGAGGUGAGGAUGCCCCACUGACUAUGGUUCCUAUACCAUCUGCCCUCACCCAUUUUCCUGCCUUACAGGUGAAGACAGGGAAGCCCCACAGCAAAAAGGAGAGGCCCAGACUGUGAGUUCCCAGCCCGGGGCUCCAUCUACCAGCUUGACGCUGGAACUGGGAAGCACAGCUGGGGUUCAGAGGGCGAUGGGCUCCCUAGGCAGCCCUUCCCCUGUGACUGGCCUUCCCUCUGACACAUGCGGCUUUACCCACCUUUGUCUGUCCCUGAUGUCUACUGCACUCCACACAGAGCCAUAUAGGGUCAGCUGCCAUUGCCGGAGGAUGCCGACCUGGAAUGACUCAUCCCCUAGGGCAGCAAGGGGCAGCUCGUGAGCCACGCCCCUCUGUCAGCCAUGCCAGACAGCAGAGGCCCUGCCCGCCCUGCCACCCAAAGGGGCUCAGGCCACAUGGUCUGCUCCAGGAGCUGCCUCACUGUGUCCCACUGACCCCAGGUUCUGCAGAAGGGCCUCACUGGGUGCCCUUAGGGAUGGAAAGGGUUGAAAGGCUGUACUCCAAAGCAGAGUCUUGCUUUUCUCUCCCGUAUUUUGGGGGUUCAGCUGGGAUUAGAAAAAAAUGUCUUUCCA
rnacentral:lncRNA from 1 species